rnacentral:rRNA from 1 species
GAUGAACGCUGGCGGCGUGCCUAAUACAUGCAAGUCGAGCGAACGGACGAGAAGCUUGCUUCUCUGAUGUUAGCGGCGGACGGGUGAGUAACACGUGGAUAACCUACCUAUAAGACUGGGAUAACUUCGGGAAACCGGAGCUAAUACCGGAUAAUAUUUUGAACCGCAUGGUUCAAAAGUGAAAGACGGUCUUGCUGUCACUUAUAGAUGGAUCCGCGCUGCAUUAGCUAGUUGGUAAGGUAACGGCUUACCAAGGCAACGAUGCAUAGCCGACCUGAGAGGGUGAUCGGCCACACUGGAACUGAGACACGGUCCAGACUCCUACGGGAGGCAGCAGUAGGGAAUCUUCCGCAAUGGGCGAAAGCCUGACGGAGCAACGCCGCGUGAGUGAUGAAGGUCUUCGGAUCGUAAAACUCUGUUAUUAGGGAAGAACAUAUGUGUAAGUAACUGUGCACAUCUUGACGGUACCUAAUCAGAAAGCCACGGCUAACUACGUGCCAGCAGCCGCGGUAAUACGUAGGUGGCAAGCGUUAUCCGGAAUUAUUGGGCGUAAAGCGCGCGUAGGCGGUUUUUUAAGUCUGAUGUGAAAGCCCACGGCUCAACCGUGGAGGGUCAUUGGAAACUGGAAAACUUGAGUGCAGAAGAGGAAAGUGGAAUUCCAUGUGUAGCGGUGAAAUGCGCAGAGAUAUGGAGGAACACCAGUGGCGAAGGCGACUUUCUGGUCUGUAACUGACGCUGAUGUGCGAAAGCGUGGGGAUCAAACAGGAUUAGAUACCCUGGUAGUCCACGCCGUAAACGAUGAGUGCUAAGUGUUAGGGGGUUUCCGCCCCUUAGUGCUGCAGCUAAUGCAUUAAGCACUCCGCCUGGGGAGUACGACCGCAAGGUUGAAACUCAAAGGAAUUGACGGGGACCCGCACAAGCGGUGGAGCAUGUGGUUUAAUUCGAAGCAACGCGAAGAACCUUACCAAAUCUUGACAUCCUUUGACAACUCUAGAGAUAGAGCUUUCCCCUUCGGGGGACAAAGUGACAGGUGGUGCAUGGUUGUCGUCAGCUCGUGUCGUGAGAUGUUGGGUUAAGUCCCGCAACGAGCGCAACCCUUAAGCUUAGUUGCCAUCAUUAAGUUGGGCACUCUAAGUUGACUGCCGGUGACAAACCGGAGGAAGGUGGGGAUGACGUCAAAUCAUCAUGCCCCUUAUGAUUUGGGCUACACACGUGCUACAAUGGACAAUACAAAGGGCAGCGAAACCGCGAGGUCAAGCAAAUCCCAUAAAGUUGUUCUCAGUUCGGAUUGUAGUCUGCAACUCGACUACAUGAAGCUGGAAUCGCUAGUAAUCGUAGAUCAGCAUGCUACGGGGAAUACGUUCCCGGGUCU